rnacentral:rRNA from 1 species
UACGGAGGGUGCAAGCGUUAUCCGGAUUCACUGGGUUUAAAGGGUGCGUAGGCGGGCAGGUAAGUCAGUGGUGAAAUCUCCAAGCUUAACUUGGAAACUGCCGUUGAUACUAUCUGUCUUGAAUAUUGUGGAGGUGAGCGGAAUAUGUCAUGUAGCGGUGAAAUGCUUAGAUAUGACAUAGAACACCAAUUGCGAAGGCAGCUCACUACACAAUCAUUGACGCUGAGGCACGAAAGCGUGGGGAUCAAACAGGAUUAGAAACCCCCGUAGUCC